rnacentral:rRNA from 1 species
UCUUCUAGAAUUUAUUAGAAGUCGGGCCUGUCCACUGAUAAUUAUUGAAGGGCCGCGGUAUUUUGACCGUGCAAAGGUAGCAUAAUCAUUAGUCUUUUAAUUGGGGGCUGGAAUGAAUGGUUUGACGAAAUAAUAUCUGUCUCAGUAUGAAUAUAUUGAAUUUUACUUUUAAGUUAAAAGGCUUAAAUAUUAAUAAGGGACGAGAAGACCCUAUAGAUCUUUAUAGUAUAUUUUAUAUUAUUAAUUUUGGAUGUAUAAUUAAUAUAUAAUUUAUUUUAUUUUAUUGGGGUGAUAUGAGAAUAUAUUAACUUCUUAUUUUUUUACUUUGAUAGAAGGUUAUAUGAUCCUUUAAUAUGGAAUUAAGAUUAAGAUACCUUAGGGAUAACAGCGUAAUCUUAUUGGAGAGUUCUUAUUGAUAAUAAGGAUUGCGACCUCGAUGUUGGAUUAAGAAAAUAUA